rnacentral:lncRNA from 1 species
GCCCGCCUCGGGCUCAGCCCGGCCCGGCCCGGCCGCGCCCUAGGAAAGAAACAAAUAAACCCAGUUACGGCCUUCAGGGUCCUGCCCCGGCGGCCUGGCCUGCAUGCGGGAAAGGCCUGGUCCGGCGUUGGGCUCGGGCCCGCAGCGCCCGUCCGGCUCCCGGGCCUGCUUGGGCCGGGCCAGGACCCGGCCGCCAAGGCCUCCUGCGCGAGGCCUAGCCGGCGCCUUUCCGCCGCGCACCCCGCCCUGGCCCGGCCCAAGUAGGCCGUGCGCCCGUCGCUAUUUCUUCGCCCGCCCGCCCGCUGGCCCAUUCCCCCCGAACCCUACGCCUCGGGCCCCGCCGCCCCGGCGCCGGCCCCACUCACCAGUCCAUUCUCCGCGCGCGGCCUGGCGUGGGCCGACGAUCCCCGGCCUCACGUAAGCGCGCUCGCCGCCCGCCCUGCUCGCGCGGCCCAGCCCGCCGCCCUACGGGAGCCCGGGGAUGUGGGCCGGGCCUGGGGCCGCCUCUGCUUACCUUUCAGCCGCUUUUUUUUUUUUUUUUUUUUUUUUAUUUUCCUCGUUCCCCCCUUUUUCCUCGGCCGGGCUGACAGCUCAGCGCGAGAGGCGCCGGCUCUGCACCGGGAGGCUCGGCCGCCGCCGCCGCUGCUCCCCCUUGGGCUUCGGCGAGAGCUUUUGCUUGUCAAGCGAGUGGGCCGUGAAGGCAGGGCUGCCGGCCGCACAAGGAGAAGCAGCAGCCUCCUACAGCACCACUACCGGCACUGCGAGGACAUAGCACCAGCGCGCGGCUCCUCGGGCCUCCGAACGACAACUUCCCUACCAUCUUGGAGCGACGGAGGGGGCCGGGGGCAAAAGUGCGGCGCCCCUGGUCAAGGCCCGCUUCCGCCCCGGGGAGCCCGCCGCCUGCACCAGGCCGGGCCGCGGGCGGGACCGGGGCGCCCGAGCCGCGCUCGCAGGUGCUUCGGGGCAGGCAGGGCCCCGGGGCUGCUGUUGGGGACAACUCUUUUCGGGACACGGAUUUUCCGGUGAUGAUUAUUUUGUAUUCUAAUUUUUUGCCGUGUUAGGGACCAUGGUGGUGUAAUUUAUUACUAUUUAUUUAAUUUUUAUUCAGGCUUAUCAUGACUUUCUGCAUGCCACGUCUUAAGUUCUGGGUCUGUUUGUAGAUUUGUAGAUCAGUUUGUAAAUUUGUACUCCAAGAGACUUCACAGGCACUUUGUCUGCUGAUCCUGUGUUAUCGUGUGUGUGGGGAUUUAUUUUCCUCUAAUAGAUAUAAAAAUAUGUGUUCCAUGUGGUCCUCCAAAUUGAGAGUGCUGGGAGGCAAUUAUAAAGGAAUGUCUUUUGUCUCCAUCUCUCCAAGGAAUGUAAAUAAAUCCUAAUUCACCGUCCAGAAAAGGCAUAAUACAGCUGUUUAUUUUCCACAGUGCAAAUAAAAGCAGAGAUCAGCCCCCAGAGUAUAGCUGACCACUUAGCCAAAAAUAAUCCUAAUUCGUUGUGUGCUUCGAGAAGAAAGGCUACUGCAAACCUGGAAAUAGAUUUAAAGACUGCCUUAGGUUUUCUUUAAGUAAAAUUGUUCUUAAUUCUAUCUAGACAUUUGUUUUCUUAUCUAGAUUCUUUGAAGUUUAGAUGUUCAGCGCUCACACGUGUCACUGCUUGCACCCAGUGUGAGAAACGUGUUUAUUUUUGUUAGGAGUUAGAAUACUGGUUCAGAACACAGGGCUGCCAACCCGAGUGAUUUGUCAUUCUGCAGUGAAGGUCAUGAAUUUACUUUUCUUAAAUGAGCAAAGCUCAGUAGAUAAAGGUGAUCAAGGUUAACCCUGCCUGCCAGGAGAGUCUCUUGUUACUCUUCUGACACGUUGGCUAACCCAGGAGGUGACUUUGUAAUAGUAGGGUCUUGCAUCAGUAGACCAUUUCUUUCAUUUGAAAUCUAUUGCAAAGUGUUUAGAAACAGCUAGGGGCUCCUCUUCAUAAGGUUUGCUUUUUGGAGCUUCCGAAUUUAGAAAUGGCCAUCAGUUUUACUUUUGUCUACUCUCUUCCUCUAAAUUUGGACACUUGAGUAUUCCUGGUUUUUACUUCCCUUUUUAAUGGGAAAAACUACCGUAAUUAAAGUAAAAUGAGUUUACUCCUAUCCUGGGAGCUUCACAUCAAGAUGGUUGUACUUGCAGUUUUUUUAAACAUCUGGAGUAAAGUGCAUUGGUCAUUACCAGGUCCUUACUUCCUUAGACCUCUAGUGGGUUUGAAAGGCAUAUUUGCUGCCAACAACCUCUGCCUUUAUGGGCCAUCGUUUGGGUUUUUUUGUUUGUUUGUUUUAUUUAUUUUUCUUUUGAGAUAGGGUCUCCCUAUGCAGUUCAGGCUGGCUUUCAGCUCACUUUGUAGCCCAGGCUGGCUUUGAACUUGCAGCAAUCCUCCUACUUCAGCCUCCCAAGGGCUGGGAUUACAGGAGUGUGCCACUAUACCCGGCUGGGCCAUAACUUUAUACACAAGCAUUCAGUGUUUGUAUUAAGCUGUUUGUCACAGCUUUUCACAGAGUCCCUCAUCCUCACGGAAACUUGCUUGUGUGGUGUCUGUUGAGGUAAGGCUACUCUGUAGCUGUAGGAUUUCUUAGUAGGUCUUUACUUAUAUAUGACUCCAGUUUUCAGUAAUCCAUCAUUCCAGCUGAUAAGCCAAAAUGGGGCUGGGGCACAAUCCAAACAGAAACCCCACUAAAUUUGCAGUGUUGCUGAAUUUCUUGAUUGGUCAGUUGAUCACUGAAGUCAUUUCAGUUGCUCUCUCCAAUCCUGGAAGCUACACAUGCUAACAAAACUCACCGACCAGAAUUCAAGGACACCCCAUUACACGGGUUUCUGAGGCUCAAAAUUUGGCUGAAGUUAUUGAAUACCUAAUGUGCCUUGGUAAUAAAAUAAAAGUUGUCAGACACUUUUAUUUAUGUGUUCUCAUUUAAUUUGACCCAGAACUAUGAAAGUUGUAUACUAUUCUUUCCUCUUUUUCUUCCCCCUUGGAUAUAGUUAGAAGGUUCUCUCUCCUGGGGGAGAGGAUG